rnacentral:rRNA from 1 species
UACGGGGGGGGCAAGCGUUGUUCGGAAUUACUGGGCGUAAAGGGCUCGUAGGCGGCCUACUAAGUCAGACGUGAAAUCCCUCGGCUUAACCGGGGAACUGCGUCUGAUACUGGAUGGCUUGAAUCCGGGAGAGGGAUGCGGAAUUCCAGGUGUAGCGGUGAAAUGCGUAGAUAUCUGGAGGAACACCGGUGGCGAAGGCGGCAUCCUGGACCGGCAUUGACGCUGAGGAGCGAAAGCCAGGGGAGCAAACGGG